ACCGGAGGAGCACGCACCCUUCUGCAUAAAUACCAAACAACUCGAAAGCCUAAUGCAUUUCUGAAUUCUUCUCAUCAAUAUUUUCAUUUACAUUUUCUACAAAAAUGAAUAGCUCAUUGCCUCAGAAUAUUAAAGCUGGAGAAAAAAAGAAUUUCUCCGUAAAUAAUAAUAUUUCGACAGCUUCUGCAACUGAUGUUGCGGCGGCCAUGAAAGUGGAUGCCUUGCCAGCUAGUAGGCUGCUGCCCGAGAGAAGAUUAUUUGAAGAUAUAAAUCAAAGUGCAGAGAUGUUCAUCAAGAAUUUCAAGCAAGAAUUGCGGAUUCAGAGGCUUGAGUCUAUUGCAAGUUAUGAAGAGAUGCUUGCCAGAGGCACAUAAUUUGUUAUUCAGAUACUGAACUGUCAACUCUGCUGCAAAUUAUUAGAAGAUGCUGGCCUGAUGCAUAUAAUACACUCGACUAAUAUUUGUUUCAUAUAUGUUAUGAUAAUUAUACAAUUCAAAUAUCUAAACUAAAACAAAAUUGUCUACAACUAAAACAAAAUUGUCUACAACUAAAUUAAUAAAUAUUUCAAUAAUGUUAUACUCCUUAUUUUCAAGGUGUUUGAUCGUGAACUCGUUUUUCAGCUUGGCUAGAGAACUCAAAAUUUGUCCCCAAAUUCUUUUAUCAAAUGACGUGGCAGACGGAUUUUAGGUGGGUGGUUUAUAUGCAUACAGGGUUCUCAUUAUUUAUUAGUAUGAGUAUCACCAGUCACACAUUGACAUAUGGAUUUGGGAACAAAAUUUGGGUUACUUAACAUUUUCCUUUGAGCUUACCGGAUAAAUUAUAUCCUAAAUUGGUGUUUUAUGAUUAUGGUUAAAUUACAAAAUUAGUGAUAAAAGGCUUGUAAGCUGAUUAAUAGUUCUAGAAAAAUGUUGAAUAUUCCAAAAAUUAUUUUUAAAUUCUUUUCUCAAAUUUCAAUUGACGGUGUUUGAUUAAUUCAAUCACAUAAAUAAUAACAAAAUUCUUAUGUACACAUAAAAUUAUUAAAUUAAUAUCAAUUACUCCCUCCGUCCCAAUCAUUUGUAUACAAAUGGUUGGGACACGGAGACCAAGAAAUUGUAUAGGAAAUGAGUAAAUUUAGAUAAAAAGUGAGAUAGUGGAGGAAAGUAGUGGGUGUAAUAGUUUUUAUAUUAUUAUAGAAUGGAGAUAGUGGA
rnacentral:lncRNA from 1 species